GAUGAACGCUAGCGGCAGGCCUAACACAUGCAAGUCGAGGGGUAGAGGAAGCUUGCUUCCUUGAGACCGGCGCACGGGUGCGUAACGCGUAUGCAAUCUACCUUUUACAGAGGGAUAGUCCAGAGAAAUUUGGAUUAAUACCUCAUAGUAUAUAUCAUUCGCCUGUUUGAUAUAUUAAAGUUCCAACGGUAAAAGAUGAGCAUGCGUCCCAUUAGUUAGUUGGUAAGGUAACGGCUUACCAAGACGAUGAUGGGUAGGGGUCCUGAGAGGGCGAUCCCCCACACUGGUACUGAGACACGGACCAGACUCCUACGGGAGGCAGCAGUGAGGAAUAUUGGUCAAUGGACGCAAGUCUGAACCAGCCAUGCCGCGUGCAGGAAGACGGUCCUAUGGAUUGUAAACUGCUUUUGUACGGGAAGAAACACUCCUACGUGUAGGAGCCUGACGGUACCGUAAGAAUAAGGAUCGGCUAACUCCGUGCCAGCCGCCGCCGUAACAC
rnacentral:rRNA from 1 species